rnacentral:misc_RNA from 1 species
UACAUAGGGUGCAAGCGUUGUCCGGAAUUAUUGGGCGUAAAGAGCUCGUAGGUCGUUAAUCACGUCGGAUGUGAAAAUCUGAGGCUCAACCUCAGACCUGCAUUCGAUACGGGUUAACUAGAGUGUGGUAGGGGAGACUGGAAUUCCUGGUGUAGCGGUGGAAUGCGCAGAUAUCAGGAGGAACACCAAUGGCGAAGGCAGGUCUCUGGGCCAUUACUGACACUGAGGAGCGAAAGUUCGGGGAGCGAACAGG